CCUACGGGAGGCAGCAGUGAGGAAUAUUGGUCAAUGGACGAGAGUCUGAACCAGCCAAGUAGCGUGAAGGAUGACUGCCCUAUGGGUUGUAAACUUCUUUUAUAAAGGAAUAAAACGAGGCACGUGUGCCUUUUUGCAUGUACUUUAUGAAUAAGGAUCGGCUAAACCCGUGCCAGCGGCCGCGGUAAUACGGAGGAUCCGCACGUUAUCCGGAUUUUUUGGGUUUAAAGGAAGCGUUGAGAGGUUGUUAAGUCAGUUGUGAAAGUUGUCGGGUCAAACGUAAAAUUGCAAUUGAUACUGGCAGUCUUGAGUACAGUUGAGGUAGGCGGAAUGCGUGGUGUAGCGGUGAAAUGCUUAGAUAUCACGAAGAACCCCGAUUGCGAAGGCAGCUGACUAAGCUGUGACUGACAUUGAUGCUCGAAAGUGUGGGUAUCAAACAGGAUUAGAUACCCGGGUAGUC
rnacentral:rRNA from 1 species